GCCCUUAUAGCUCAACGGUAGAGCGAUAUACUGUUAAUAUCUUGAUAAGUGUUCGACUCACUUUAAGGGCU
rnacentral:tRNA from 1 species